GUGAGGAAUAUUGGACAAUGGGCGCAAGCCUGAUCCAGCCAUGCCGCGUGCAGGAAGACGCAUCUAUGGUGUGUAAACUGCUUUUGUACGGGAAGAAACACUCCCUCGUGAGGGAGCUUGACGGUACCGUAAGAAUAAGGAUCGGCUAACUCCGUGCCAGCAGCCGCGGUAAUACGGAGGAUCCAAGCGUUAUCCGGAAUCAUUGGGUUUAAAGGGUCCGUAGGCGGUUUAAUAAGUCAGUGGUGAAAGCCCAUCGCUCAACGAUGGAACGGCCAUUGAUACUGUUAGACUUGAAUUACAAGGAAGUAACUAGAAUAUGUAGUGUAGCGGUGAAAUGCUUAGAUAUUACAUUGAAUACCAAUUGCGAAGGCAGGUUACUACUUGUGGAUUGACGCUGAUGGACGAAAGCGUGGGGAGCGAACAGGAUUAGAUACCCGUGUAGUCC
rnacentral:rRNA from 1 species